GGCUUUUCAAGCCUCUCCCGGCUUCCUCCCCUUUUCUUUCAGGCAUUUCUCCUAAUUAAUUUCUUGCACUUUUAAUGGAUCUUGGUAACAGCUUCUCAGAGGACAGGGAAUAACAUAAGCGGGGAUCCACCAGGAAGCACAGAAAGCACCCAGAGGAGGAGGGACAGGAAACAUGGUAUUGGUUUAAAAACCAAACUCACUUCCCGAAAUACGGGCCACCGUGUGAGGCUUUAAUGAGGCGUUCUCAGGGCUCACAGGGAUGGCUUUGUAAUCUGCGUAAUUGGCCAGGCUGGACUACAUUUCCCAGGAUUCCUUUUCCCUCUAUGUUUCAGGUUAAUAAAGGCUCCAAGGGACGUUGUCUCGCGAGAGAUGGAAGCGGGCAACGGGGCGGCAGCCAUCUUGUAGGGCGCCCUUCCUUGCUGUCGAUCACCCCACUAAAGCUCAGGAAAAGAACAUAA
rnacentral:lncRNA from 1 species